rnacentral:ribozyme from 1 species
UGCCCAGCAACUCCUAUCCCUACCUCCUCGCGGUACUGGCCGGGGUACGAGUAACUUUACGGAAGAUCGGGUAACCAACCCCGGUGGGAACUCUGGUCGUAUGCUGACGGGGAAAG